CCCCUCCUCCACUUCCUAGUGCUGCUGCUGCGGCGGCUACUUACCCUGGCAUUCUCUUACAUUUCUUGGCAAUGUUGUCGCAUCCAUCACUACACCAGUACAGUAUGGUAGGACCCAGUGCCAGCAGAAGCCCCCGACACGGAGAACUACGAGGCUUUACUACAUCUGGCAGAGAGGCUGGGUGAGGCCAAACCCAGAGGCCUUUUGAAAACAGUGAUUGACCAACUCCCGUCCUAUAGGUAUACAGGGGAGAAGUCUGACACUAAACAAACCACAUGUGUGAUUUGCAUGUGUGACUUCGAGCUUCGGCAGAUGUUACGAGUAUUACCGUGUCUCCACGAGUUCCACACCAAAUGUGUCGACAAGUGGCUCAAGAGGCGAAAGUGUGCAUGAAGCUGCUGUGACAUACCAGUACCGUUGCCAUAUUGUCCUCUAAGCCAAGUGGACUCCCUCAUCUCAGUGGCAGAUAUCACAUUGUCUCCUCUCCCUCCAGCUGCUCUCCAUCACAGUUCAUCACCCGAAUGUUCUCAGCUCAGACCAGUCUCACUCUUGAUUCAAAGCCGAGUCUAUAUAACCUUGUAUAUAGACGUGCUCUAAUGACCAUGAAAAGCCUGAUUCUCUGAUAUAAACAGAUUACCCCCUCCCCCUUUUUAAAUGCUAGAAUAUUUUGGAUGAGUCGCAAUUUCUCCCCUCCCCCAAUACAUAUAUAUAUGUUUUCAAUAUAUAUGUAUACAUGUGAAUGAGUCCUCUUUCAAUAAUGAUAAUGAAAGCUAAGAUUUGGCAGUGGCCAGGCUGAGGCUUACACAAACCUGAUAACCAAGUCAAUGUUUCUCAGUUGCAAGUCAGUAGGCUAUAGCAUCUUUGCAUGCUUUGAGAACUAAUUAUC